rnacentral:tRNA from 1 species
GGGGUUGUAGCUCAGUGGUAGAGUGCUUGCCUCUUAUGUGUGAGGCACAGGGUUCGAUCCUCAGCACCA